rnacentral:rRNA from 1 species
UGAAUGUCAAAACGACUCUCGGCAACGGAUAUCUCGGCUCUCGCAUCGAUGAAGAACGUAGCGAAAUGCGAUACUUGGUGUGAAUUGCAGAAUCCCGUGAACCAUCGAGUCUUUGAACGCAAGUUGCGCCCGAAGCCUUCGGGCUGAGGGCACGCCUGCCUGGGCGUCACGCAUCGCGU